GACAGAGGCCUCAAGCGUUAGGCGGAAUCACUGGGCUUAAAGCGUGUGUAGGCGGAUCGUUAAGUGUCUUGUGAAAUCCCACGGCUCACCCGUGGAACUGCUGGGCAUACUGGCGAUCUUGGGCCAACUAGGGGCAACUGGAACACGCGGUGGAGCGGUGAAAUGCGUAGAUAUCGCUUGGAACGCCGAAGGUGAAAACAGGUUGCUGGGGUUGUGCCGACGCUGAGACACGAAAGCCAGGGGAGCAAACGGG
rnacentral:rRNA from 1 species